GAUGAACGCUAGCUACAGGCUUAACACAUGCAAGUCGAGGGGCAGCAUGCAGGUAGCUUGCUAUCUGUGAUGGCGACCGGCGCACGGGUGAGUAACGCGUAUCCAACCUUCCCCCUGGUAGGGCAUAGCCCGUAGAAAUGCGGAUUAACACCCUAUGUUGUGCUUUGAGGACAUCUGAGGAGCACUAAAGUUUGACGCCAUGGGAUGGGGAUGCGUCCGAUUAGCUUGACGGCGGGGUAACGGCCCACCGUGGCUACGAUCGGUAGGGGUUCUGAGAGGAAGGUCCCCCACACUGGUACUGAGACACGGACCAGACUCC
rnacentral:rRNA from 1 species